CACACUCUCCGAAAAUGGAUCAACACUAUUUGUUGUGCUUCUCUCGCCCCAGAAGAAAGGGGGUUUGUUGAUGUGUCCGCGUUGUACUGAACCAGACACAUUACUUUCUAGCUGAGCACACAGCCUGAUCCACUUCUGGACAGCUGAGCCUCCCGGUCACCUGCAUCAAGGAAGAUGGAGACUUCCAGGUGGCAAGUGACUGACACAGGGGAUCCGUCCUAGAGAGCAAGAGUCAGAGACAAGAAGAGUGAAGCAGAAAAGAAGAGAGAAAGCAGAUUGAAGAAUUCAUUACCUAGCUGAUUGCCAUUAAAGGUGAUUUAUAGCCUGGUAUUGAGGGACUGUCACAGCCUCUGGAGCAACAACAACAACCAAAAAACCCCAGCAUCUCAAGAAAGAGAAGAAUUUAUCUUCCAGUUCCUAUUUUUCAUUGGCCAGAAGUUCACCCAGUGGGAUGUUGAAGCUCCCAUAAGCUGUAAAUCGGGAAGUCCUGGAGAAAGACACAAGAGACCAUGAGUGCACU